rnacentral:rRNA from 1 species
AAAGCGGAGGAAAAGAAACCAACAGGGAUUGCCCCAGUAGCGGCGAGUGAAGCGGCAAAAGCUCAGAUUUGGAAUCGCUUCGGCGAGUUGUGAAUUGCAGGUUGGCGCCUCUGCGGCGGCGGCGGUCCAAGUCCCUUGGAACAGGGCGCCAUUGAGGGUGAGAGCCCCGUGGGACCGUUUGCCUACGCUCUGAGGCCCUUCUGACGAGUCGAGUUGUUUGGGAAUGCAGCUCUAAGCGGGUGGUAAAUUCCAUCUAAGGCUAAAUACUGGCGAGAGACCGAUAGCGAACAAGUACUGUGAAGGAAAGAUGAAAAGCACUUUGAAAAGAGAGUGAAACAGCACGUGAAAUUGUUGAAAGGGAAGGGUAUUGCGCCCGACAUGGAGCGUGCGCACCGCUGCCCCUCGUGGGCGGCGCUCUGGGCGUGCUCUGGGCCAGCAUCGGUUUUUGCCGCGGGAGAAGGGCGGCGGGCAUGUAGCUCUUCGGAGUGUUAUAGCCUGCCGCCGGCGCCGCGAGCGGGGACCGAGGACUGCGACUUUUGUCUCGGAUGCUGGCACAACGGCGCAACACCGCCCGUCUUAAAA